AUUGAACGCUGGCGGCAGGCCUAACACAUGCAAGUCGAGCGGAUGAGAGGAGCUUGCUCCUCGAUUCAGCGGCGGACGGGUGAGUAAUGCCUAGGAAUCUGCCUAGUAGUGGGGGACAACGUUUCGAAAGGAACGCUAAUACCGCAUACGUCCUACGGGAGAAAGUGGGGGAUCUUCGGACCUCACGCUAUUAGAUGAGCCUAGGUCGGAUUAGCUAGUUGGUAGGGUAACGGCCUACCAAGGCGACGAUCCGUAACUGGUCUGAGAGGAUGAUCAGUCACACUGGAACUGAGACACGGGCCAGACUCCGACGGGAGGCAGCAGUGGGGAAUAUUGGACAAUGGGCGAAAGCCUGAUCCAGCCAUGCCGCGUGUGUGAAGAAGGCCCUCGGGUCGUAAAGCACUUUAAGUUGGGAGGAAGGGCUUACAGCGAAUACCUGUGAGUUUUGACGUUACCGACAGAAUAAGCACCGGCUAACUUCGUGCCAGCAGCCGCGGUAA
rnacentral:rRNA from 1 species